CAGCAGCCACGGUAAUACGAAGGGUGCAAGCGUUAAUCGGAAUUACUGGGCGUAAAGCGUGCGUAGGCGGUUUGUUAAGUCUGUUGUGAAAUCCCCGGGCUCAACCUGGGAAUGGCAAUGGAUACUGGCAAGCUAGAGUGUGUCAGAGGAUGGUGGAAUUCCCGGUGUAGCGGUGAAAUGCGUAGAGAUCGGGAGGAACAUCAGUGGCGAAGGCGGCCAUCUGGGACAACACUGACGCUGAGGCACGAAAGCGUGGGGAGCAAACAGGAUUAGAUACCCAUGUAGUCCCUGUCUCUUAUAC
rnacentral:rRNA from 1 species